rnacentral:rRNA from 1 species
UAGGGAAUCUUCGGCAAUGGGGGGAACCCUGACCGAGCAACGCCGCGUGAGUGAAGAAGGUUUUCGGAUCGUAAAGCUCUGUUGUUAAGGAAGAACGAGUGUGAGAAUGGAAAGUUCAUGCUGUGACGGUACUUAACCAGAAAGGGACGGCUAACUACGUGCCAGCAGCCGCGGUAAUACGUAGGUGGCAAGCGUUGUCCGGAAUUAUUGGGCGUAAAGCGCGCGCAGGUGGUUUAGAAAGUCUGAUGUGAAAGCCCACGGCUCAACCGUGGAGGGUCAUUGGAAACUAAUAAACUUGAGUGCAGGAGAGGAAAGUGGAAUUCCUAGUGUAGCGGUGAAAUGCGUAGAGAUUAGGAGGAACACCGGUGGCGAAAGCGGCUUUUUGGCCUGCAACUGACACUGAGGCGCGAAAGCAUGGGGAGCAAACAGG